UUCUCAAUUUAUAUAUCUAUAUAUAAGAGAGUACUGAAAAAUUAGUAGCGGGAAAGUGAGUAUCGAAAAGAAAGAAUGGGAGGGAGAAAUUAAAAUGUUUUAAACUGUAAUUAUUUUCUGUUCUUUUUUUCUUCUCCAUCUCUCUCUUUCUCUUUUUUUUUUUACAGUUGAUUUACAAAAUCUUCUUCCGUUGCUAAUUUCUUUGUCUAGGGUUUUGUUCGUUAGUUUUUUUUUAUUCUUUUUAGACUCAAAUUCUUUGAAAUUAUGAGGAGAAAUGUGAAGAAAAAAAAACAAACAGAUAAGGGUGAUGCAUCUGCUGAACCGGUUCGAACCAAGGUGGCGGGAGAGGCCCGAGAUGAGUCGGCGGAUGUUGAGUCGAAUCAACCGAAUCGAGAAGAGGAUGCGACAGAUAGGAGGGUUCUUCGCUCCAAAUACCUUGCCAUGAUGACCAAAAUAAGCGCUUCUUGUACGGAUAUGAACAAGUCUUUAGCUGAUGGGAUGUUGGAUGUACCUUGCUUAGAAGAAAAAAAAGAAAAAAAAGGAGAAA